GCCAGGUGUGGUGGCACAUGCCUAUAAUCCAAGCUACUUGAAGGCUGAAGCAGGAGGAUUGCAAGUUUGAGGCCAGCUUUGGCAAUUUGGUGAGAUCCAGUUUUAA
rnacentral:sRNA from 1 species